rnacentral:tRNA from 1 species
GGGAGAAGUUUGGGGCUGGUGCCCCUGCUGGUCUUCAAAACCAGUUGGUCUCCGCAAGGGGGCUGGUAGGUUCGAUUCCUAUCUUCUCCCGCCA